GAUGAACGCUGGCGGCGUGCCUAAUACAUGCAAGUCGAGCGAACAGAUGAGGAGCUUGCUCCUCUGACGUUAGCGGCGGACGGGUGAGUAACACGUGGAUAACCUACCUAUAAGACUGGGAUAACUUCGGGAAACCGGAGCUAAUACCGGAUAAUAUAUUGAACCGCAUGGUUCAAUAGUGAAAGACGGUUUUGCUGUCACUUAUAGAUGGAUCCGCGCCGCAUUAGCUAGUUGGUAAGGUCACGGCUUACCAAGGCAACGAUGCGUAGCCGACCUGAGAGGGUGAUCGGCCACACUGGAACUGAGACACGGUCCAGACUCCUACGGGAGGCAGCAGUAGGGAAUCUUCCGCAAUGGGCGAAAGCCUGACGGAGCAACGCCGCGUGAGUGAUGAAGGUCUUCGGAUCGUAAAACUCUGUUAUUAGGGAAGAACAAAUGUGUAAGUAACUAUGCACGUCUUGACGGUACCUAAUCAGAAAGCCACGGCUAACUACGUG
rnacentral:rRNA from 1 species